rnacentral:rRNA from 1 species
UUGUGCCAGCAGCCGCGGUAAUUCCAGCUCCAAUAGCGUAUAUUAAAGUUGUUGCGGUUAAAAAGCUCGUAGUUGGAUCUCGGCAAGUAGAGGGCGGUAUGCUUCGUAGCAUUACUGCCCUAUUACUUGUAGUUUUGCCAGAGGUUCCUGGGUGCUCUUAAUCGAGUGUCUAGGGAUGCUGGCAGGUUUACUUUGAAAAAAUUAGAGUGCUCAAAGCAGGCUAUUACGCUUGAAUAUUCGUGCAUGGAAUAAUAGAAUAGGAAGUUGUUUCUAUUUUGUUGGUUUUCGGAAAUCGACUUAAUGAUUAAUAGGGACAGUCGGGGGCAUUUGUAUUCAAACGACAGAGGUGAAAUUCUUGGACCGUUUGAAGACAAACUACUGCGAAAGCAUUUGCCAAGAAUGUUUUCAUUAAUCAAGAACGAAAGUUAGAGGUUCGAAGGCGAUUAGAUACCGCCCUAGUUCUAACCAUAAACGAUGCCAGCUAGCGAUCUGAGGACGUUUUUUUUGUAGACUCCUCAGGAAGCUUCCGGGAAACCAAAGCGUGUGGGUUCCGGGGGAAGUAUGGUUGCAAAGCUGAAACUUAAAGGAAUUGACGGAAGGGCACCACCAGGAGUGGAGCCUGCGGCUUAAUUUGACUCAACACGGGAAAUCUCACCAGGCCCGGACACUGGAAGGAUUGACAGAUUGAGAGCUCUUUCUCGAUUCGGUGGGUGGUGGUGCAUGGCCGUUCUUAGUUGGUGGAGUGAUUUGUCUGGUUAAUUCCGAUAACGAACGAGACUCUGUCCUGCUAAAUAGUGUCAGCCUCUCUUCUGGGCUGACAAUUCUUCUUAGAGGGACUGGCGGCUCCUAGCCGCACGAGAUAGAGCAAUAACAGGUCUGUGAUGCCCA